rnacentral:misc_RNA from 1 species
ACUCGCGGCCUACCGCAUGACUUCUGAUGGCGUGGUGUAUCAGGCUGGCCGCUCAACUCGGCGCAGAGGUGCACAGCUCUUAGAGGGUGGUCGGGAGGCUCACCACUACACUGAUGCUUACCGAUGUCUGGGACGGCCGCUGCUCAGCCGCGUAUCCCUUCGGGGGGGGGGGGGUAGUCGUUCACUUUCAGUUGAAGAUUGCGCUGUCACGGCGGUAAUGCUGCGUCUGGACGCCUAUGUCUUUACCCUGCUCGCAGGGGCGCAGACAGCGUUGAUGCACUCGCCACCGUGUGCCGUGAUGAGCUCAGCGCCGAUUUGACGAGCACCAGGGAUUCACAGCGCCCUCUGGACGCGGCUGUUGCCCGCAACGUUGCCGGUCGAUGCCCGGAGUCGAUGCCAUUCGAAACGGGGCGUCAAUGCGGAGCGGCUGGGCCACUGCGCCGUUGCUGAGGCGUACGUCUCAACUUCGUUCGUGUGCGAUCUCCCUGAGGAAGCUUUGAGCGCGUGUGCACCUGGCGCUCCCGAUUCCAGCGAAUGCGCUGAUACCAUGCCCGAUGGAUCCUCGAGCACUGCCACGUACCGCGAAGCGAACGGCUAGCCUGGUAACUCCUUUGCACGAUGUGGUGACGCUCGCAGCGACAAGAAGCGGCAGACAUUGCGACAGCGGAAGGAGAGGAUCACAUGGGGGACGUGUUUUAUAGCGCAGUGUCACGUGUAGGCUGCACUUGCCCUACCCGCUCGCUCCAGCACUUUUGUAUUGUCUCUCUGCAUGCUACCACAUUAUUUACAUCUUUUCGUACCUUUGGUACGAUACCUGCGUGUGUGCACGUUGAGCUACGCGGCGUGUCCAUUUCGCAGCGUUCUGCAUUUGACUGCUCCCCUUUUCCUGCGCAGUUAUUUGUCACGUACGCACGCACGCACGCUUGCCGUUCUCUUAGCUUUUGUUGUUCUAAGGCGGCGGAGUCUUCCCUCCACCCUCCCCUCCGCCCCCUCUUCCCCCGAAGCUAACUUCCGUCUCAUGCGCAUCCAUGCACGCGCCCGUAAAUGUGUUACGCUCCUUUUUCCGAGGUAGUGAAACCACGAGCGAUCAGCACCGUCAGCGCUUGUGUGUGCCCACUCGUUGUACUACCUCAG